AGAGACAAAGGAGCCACAGAGACAUAGACAUGGAUCUGGGAAAUACACCUUUUGCUACUCGUUCAGUUUUAGCAAGGAGGUUUCUGGCAUGGCUAAGCAAAACUUAAACUUCCUCUGAGAAUUACAGGAAUUACAGGACCUGACAAAGCUAUAAAACCUAUAGGAAGAAAAUCUCAACCAGAAACAGUAUGGCAGAAUUGGGAUCUGACUCACAGAGGGAAGAACUUAUAAUUCUUCACAGGGCACAUAGAAGCAUGAGAAUUUGGGUUCAAGCAAGUAAAUUCUAAAUUAGAAUCCAUACAUAAAGUGUUUGCAAUGUCCAGUUAUAUCUCCAUGAUAUUUUCUUUGUGGAAGUUGAUUGUUCUUCCUUACAAUAAAUUGCUUGAAUUGUCUGUCUAUUCAUUUAGCUAUUUCUUUUCUUGACUUUGCGAUAUUUUUUUUUGUAAGUAAAAAAUUUUCAGACUAAAUAA
rnacentral:lncRNA from 1 species